rnacentral:rRNA from 1 species
UUCCUACGGGAGGCAGCAGUGGGGAAUCUUCCGCAAUGGGCGAAAGCCUGACGGAGCAACGCCGCGUGAGUGAUGAAGGCCCUUGGGUCGUAAAACUCUGUCUUCAGGGAAGAAAAAAAUGACGGUACCUGAGGAGGAAGCCCCGGCUAACUACGUGCCAGCAGCCGCGGUAAAACGUAGGGGGCGAGCGUUGUCCGGAAUUACUGGGCGUAAAGGGCGUGUAGGCGGCUCGUGAAGUCAGGAGUGAAAACCCGGGGCUCAACGCCGGGAGUGCUUUUGAAGCCAGCGGGCUUGAGUGCAGGAGAGGGAAGUGGAAUUCCCAGUGUAGCGGUGAAAUGCGUAGAUAUUGGGAGGAACACCAGUGGCGAAAGCGGCUUCCUGGCCUGUAACUGACGCUGAGGCGCGAAAGCGUGGGGAGCAAACAGGAUUAGAUACCCUAGUAGUCG